rnacentral:rRNA from 1 species
CAUCAUCUUUAAUAAUAUUUAUUUUAUUUAAGUCUACUUUGCUGAAAACGCUUAUGAGGAUAAGCUCAAAAGCGAUUUUGAGAACUGUGCAAAAAAUAAAGCUGUGUAAGCCUAAAAUUAGCUACCACAAAAAGUUUGUUAUAAAAUAGCUUACAUAUAAAAAAAAAUAUUUAUGCUUUCUACCAAACACCAAUGAAGAUAAAAUCUUAGAAUUAAUUUAGUUUACACCUAUGCUAGGAUGAGUAUUUUUUUUUAUGCCCGCGAAAAAAGCUAUUUUUCCGUCUGUAAGGGGGAUUAAUGAUACUAAUUAAAUUAAAGGAAUUCGGCAAAUCCUUACUCCGCCUGUUUAUCAAAAACAUGGCUCUUUGUUUAACAAGAUAAAGAGUCGGACCUGCCCAAUGAAGUUUUAAUGGCCGCGGUACUCUGACCGUGCAAAGGUAGCGUAAUCAUUUGCCUUAUAAUUGAAGGCUCGUAUGAAUGGUUUGACGUGAGUAGUGCUGUCUCUCUUUUAUUUUUUAGAAAUUAACCUUUAGGUGAAGAGGCCUAAAUAAAAUUAAAGGACAAGAAGACCCUGUCGAGCUUAAAAGACAAAAUAGAGAUUAGUAUCUAAGAAAUAUUUAUUCUAUUGAGCUUUUUAGUUGGGGCGACUAAGGAACAAAAAAAGCUUCUUUCAAAAAACUACGCUUAUUGGCAAAGAUCCAGCAUUAGCUGAUCAAGAGAAUUAGUUACCGCAGGGAUAACAGCAUAAUCUCUCUUGAGAGACCAAAUCGAAAGAGGGGGUUGUGACCUCGAUGUUGGACUAGAAUAUCCGAAAGAUGCAGACGUCUUUGAAGGU